CAUUUACACACUCACUCAUAAACUCAUACACACACACACACACCUUGCAAGCACUGAUGUCACCGUGAGACCUCAGCGCCCUGUAGCCUGAGAGCCAACCAUCUGACCUUCCUCGGUGACCAGAUUACAGAGAGGAGACCAGAGUGAUGGCACAAGUUUCCUGAGGUCGAGAGUGCCCGGGCUGCCUUGAUUUCAGUCCAGAGCCCCUGGUGGCACACAGCUACAGCGUUGAUCCUCCUGUGGGCACCUGUGGACAGAACGGUCCACAGGACACAUGGUGCCAGCAUUGUGACUUCAAGACAAUCC